AGCUCCAGUAGCGUAUAUUAAAGUUGUUGCAGUUAAAAAGCUCGUAGUUGGAUUUCUGGCACGCUGCGCCUGGCCCGCCUACGUUAGUAGUGUGUGUGCCGGAGCGCGGUUGCCAUCCUUCCAGAAAACGUUUCUACCCUUCACUGGGCGGGAUUCGCGAUCUGGAUCAUUUACUUUGAAAAAAUUAGAGUGUUUAAAGCAGGCUUUUGCUAUGAAUACAUUAGCAUGGAAUAAUAAUAUAGGACUACGGUUCUAUUUUGUUGGUUUCUAGAACUGGAGUAAUGAUUGAUAGGGAUAGUUGGGGGUGCUAGUAUUUAGCGGCCAGAGGUGAAAUUCUUGGAUUCGCUGAAGACUAACUUAUGCGAAAGCAUUCACCAAGGAUGUCUUCUUUAAUCAAGAA
rnacentral:rRNA from 1 species